rnacentral:rRNA from 1 species
AACUAGGCAAAAUGGCACCGUAACUUCGGGAGAAGGUGCGCCCUUUGGUGUGGUCACGUGCGUGACUGAGCAUCGAAGGGUCGCAGUAACCUGGCCGCUGCGACUGUUUAUCAAAAACACAGCACUCUGCAAACACGAAAGUGGACGUAUAGGGUGUGACGCCUGCCCGGUGCUGGAAGGUUAAUUGAUGGGGUCAGCCGCAAGGCGAAGCUCUUGAUCGAAGCCCCAGUAAACGGCGGCCGUAACAAUAACGGUCCUAAGGUAGCGAAAUUCCUUGUCGGGUAAGUUCCGACCUGCACGAAUGGCGUAACGACAGCGGCGCUGUCUCCACCCGAGACUCAGUGAAAUUGAAAUCGCUGUGAAGAUGCAGCGUUCCCGCGGCAAGACGGAAAGACCCCGUGAACCUUUACUAUAGCUUUACAUUGAACGUUGAGUUCUUCUGUGUAGGAUAGGUGGGAGGCUAUGAAACCGAGACGCUAGUUUCGGUGGAGCCAUCCUUGAAAUACCACCCUGAAGUGCUUGACGUUCUAACCUAGGUCCGUAAUCCGGAUCGGGGACCAUGUAUGGUGGGUAGUUUGACUGGGGCGGUCUCCUCCCAAAGAGUAACGGAGGAGCACGAAGGUACGCUCAGCGCGGUCGGACAUCGCGCACUGUGUGCAAAGGCAUAAGCGUGCUUGACUGCGAGAUCGACGGAUCAAGCAGGUACGAAAGUAGGUCUUAGUGAUCCGGUGGUUCUGUAUGGAAGGGCCAUCGCUCAACGGAUAAAAGGUACUCCGGGGAUAACAGGCUGAUACCGCCCAAGAGUUCAUAUCGACGGCGGUGUUUGGCACCUCGAUGUCGGCUCAUCACAUCCUGGGGCUGUAGCCGGUCCCAAGGGUAUGGCUGUUCGCCAUUUAAAGUGGUACGCGAGCUGGGUUCAGAACGUCGUGAGACAGUUCGGUCCCUAUCUGUCGUGGGCGUUGGAGAUUUGAGGGGGGCUGCUCCUAGUACGAGAGGACCGGAGUGGACGUUCCGCUGGUGUUCGGGUUGUCAUGCCCAUGGCAUUGCCCGGUAGCUACGAACGGAAGUGAUAACCGCUGAAAGCAUCUAAGCGGGAAGCACGCCCCAAGAUGAGAUCUCCCGAGAGCUAGACUCUCCUUAAGGCACCAUCAAGACUAGGUGGUUGAUAGGCGCGGUGUGGAAGUGCAGCAAUGCAUUGAGCUUACGCGUACUAAUGAGCCGUGAGGCUUGACC